AAGUUUUAUUUUGAAAUGUUUUGAGAAAGGUUUUAAGUACUCUUUGAACUCUGAACUUUUGCAAGACUAAAACAAUUUUGAACAGUUGAAACGCUUUAGAAUUUAUCAUGGGGGUUGAAGCUGGUUUUGCCUAAGUAAAGGAAACGGCUUUGAAAGAAGUAAAUGAUUACGUGACUCGGUUUGGCUUAGAUCCUAUUUUAUUACUCAAAUCGGAAAGCCAAGGUUUUAAUGAUUUUAAAUGAAUUCGGAGAAAUGAGUUAUGCUAUUCUCCCCUAAAGACUUGGGACUCUGUCGAGAAACUUUGUUAUAAAAUCCCAUUGUGGGAUGGGUGAUUUUGAAUGUUCCCAAAAUGAAUCUUUAACUUUCCAUGGUUUUGGAAGUUUUGGAAAGAGAAUGCCAAGAGUGGCUUUGUUUUAAAAAGGGAACUCACUUUGAGUAAAUUUGGCUUAUGAGCCUGAGAUGAUUUGAGAAAUGAGAUCUUUAAAGCCAAGGCUAAAAAGAGUUGAAAUUUGAUUUCAAAGUGAAAUGGCUUGAGAAAAGUGAUUUAUGGCUUAAAUGCCGGUUUUAUGAAUUUGAUGAUGUUGAAUGGUGGAAGUGUUGCUUUGUUGUGAGCCG
rnacentral:lncRNA from 1 species